rnacentral:lncRNA from 1 species
UUUUAUAAUAUUCACAAGACGACAGCGUAUCUGGUAGAACCAGUAGAUUAUUACUCCUCCCAACCAACCAACCAACCAACCCCUCGGGAAGAAAUUAUUUCUCCACUAAACUGGUUUGUUCUUUUGUUUUUUGCUCUCUGUCGCAACCGACACACCCUCAAGAUGUACGGAGUGACUCGGAAUGGUUUCUCAAUACAAGGUAGGUAUGAGACUCCAGAGUAGGUAUGGUUUCUUUUUCUUGACUCCAAUUAUUUUUUUAAGUAAUGACUUAAUUAAUUAAAUUUUAAUUAAUUAAAUUCUUAAAUUUAAUUUUUAUUUAAUAAAAAAUUUCAGUUAUUAAACUAAUUUUUUUUAAUCUAAAAAAUUAAAGUGAUAGCAUUAAAAAUAUUCUCCAAAAUAUUCUUAUUUAAUUAAUUAAUUUUCAUCGUUACUCAUCUUUAUAACCAUUACUUAAUUAAUUAUUACUCAUCUUUAUAAUUAUUUUAAUAAUUAAUCAUUAUUAAAUUAUUCUCUAAUUAUUAAUUAGAGAAUGUCAUCUUUAUAACUUGUGAUAAUAUAAUAAUAAAUAAUUAUUAUUUUCAUCUUUUUAUUUUCUUUAAAUUAGCAUUAUUAAUCUUUAUAAUUUUUAUGAAUAUUUUUCAUACAAAAACAUCAUAAACUACAACAAAAUUGAUUAACAUAUAAUAAUGUAAAAUUUUAAAAUCGGAUUCAAUUGAAUAUGAUUUAUAUUAUGAUAAUAUGUUAUCUUAUUUAUUUUUUUGAGAUGUUUAUUAUUUAUUUCACAUUUAUAAUUUGUAAGGGGACAAAUAUAAAAGUAUUAUUUUUUAUUUUUUAAAAUAAAAAAUAACUUAAUAUUUAUUUUUAAGUUGAAAGGAAAGGAUAACUUAAUACUUAUCAGAAUCAACUAUUCAACUUUAUUCAAAAUUCAGUUUAAUUCAGGUUUAUUCAAAUUUCAGACAAAAAAAAAAAAAGCAAACGUCACCUUAAUUUUUAAUGUAUGAUAAACAAACUAAUAUUUUACUUUUUAUAGUUCGAUCCAAACAACCAUAAGAUUAACAUGGAUUUUUUUUGGAUAAUUUUAAAUCAGAUAGUGAUGCAGCGUGGUUCUACAAAAGAAAGCUUUGCAGUGAAACUGAUUCAGCAAAAGGAUAAACUGUUAUAGGGUAAUGGAUAGACGAGGGGAUAUUUUCAAUACUCCGUUGGUUCUUGAGAAUACCGAAAUAAAAAAAUAAUCUAAAUUCACGUUGAUUCUAAGAAUACCUGAUUAGUAUUAAAAUUGUUUAAUUAUCAAGCGAUAAUAUGUUAUUUUAUGCUUAUGUUAUAAUUUAUAUUUGUGUUUAUGUAAUAUAUUAUGAAUUAUGAAUUAUGUUUUAAAUAUAUUUAAUUUUGUGUAUUUUUAUGUGUUUAUUAG